GAUGAACGCUGGCGGCGUGCCUAAUACAUGCAAGUCGAGCGAACGGACGAGAAGCUUGCUUCUCUGAUGUUAGCGGCGGACGGGUGAGUAACACGUGGAUCACCUACCUAUAAGACUGGGAUAACUUCGGGAAACCGGAGCUAAUACCGGAUAAUAUUUUGAACCGCAUGGUUCAAAAGUGAAAGACGGUCUUGCUGUCACUUAUAGAUGGUUCCGCGCUGCAUUAGCUAGUUGGUAAGGUAAAGGCUUAUCAAGGGAACGAUGCGUAGCCGACGUGUGGGGGGGAUCGCCCGCACUGGAACGUGACCGCGGACCAGGGUCCUACGGGAGGCACCAGUAGGGAAUCUUCCGCAGUGGUGGAGAGCAUUGCGGAGCAGCGCCGCGUGAGAGGUAGAAGUCUUGGGUGCGGAGAACCCUCUUAUUGGGGAAAAACAUAUGUGGAAGUAAAUGUGCACUGCGUGACGGUACCUAAUAAAGAAGCCACGGCUAACUACGUG
rnacentral:rRNA from 1 species